rnacentral:rRNA from 1 species
GUCCACGCUGUAAACGUUGGGCACUAGGUGUGGGACUCUAUCGACGGGUUCCGUGCCGCAGCUAACGCAUUAAGUGCCCCGCCUGGGGAGUACGGCCGCAAGGCUAAAACUCAAAGGAAUUGACGGGGGUCCGCACAAGCGGCGGAGCAUGUUGCUUAAUUCGAUGCAACGCGAAGAACCUUACCUUGGUUUGACAUGUAGGGAAAAGCCGUAGAGAUACGGUGUCCUUCGGGGCCCUACACAGGUGGUGCAUGGCUGUCGU